AUUAAUAACCGAGGGUCGAGCACCUUCAUAAAUUAAU
rfam:Flavobacteriaceae bacterium TMED116 99627, whole genome shotgun sequence.